AUGAAAAGUUCCUUGGUGGAUGUGAGAGAUGUGCAACACAGAAUGCCAAUGAAAGCUUGCAUCAUGUAAUUUGGGGAUUUGCACCAAAGGAUCAGCAUGCCUCACAAGUUGAAAGUAGCCUAAGUGUCAACCUUGGAGUUUUAAUUUUCAACUGUGGGAUGGAGGUUACCUAUUCCCAGCUUCUACCUAAAAUUGGUGUCACGGUAACCAACCACAUGAAAGAGGCAUGGAGUAAAAUUGAUAGGAAAAGAAUGUAUGGUGGGGAGUACAAGGAAAGGAGUGAGGUGAAAGAAAGAAGGAAACAAUAUAAGAGAAUAAAAUCAAAGAAAGCUGAUGCUUUUCUCCACAAAGAAGGGUUACAGUACAAGUCUCAGGCAUUCUAUACCUCCAAUAAAGACAAACCUGCUGGAAACCACAAAGUAACAGGUAAAGCAAAAGGAAAUAGAAAAGGAAAGAGCAAGAAGACUAACAAAGGAAAGUAAUAGCUGUUUUGUAAAUGAUCAUGAAUCUACUCCUACUAAGAUACUGCUGUUCAACAGAUGGAGCAUAUUAAUCAUGGUCAAUCCCUAAUAGUAUUGUUGGGAAUCUACUCCUACUAAGAUACUGCUGUUCAACAGAUGGAGCAUAUUAAUCAUUUACAGUACAGUCUAGUUUUCGGCCUAAGCCCAUGUUACAUAACAAAAUGUUGAAUAUACAUUUAUGUUUAAUAAGGGGUCUACUUGUAUUUAUGUUAUGCACUUGUCAUUGGAACCGCCCCCCAGGGAAAACAUGAGGCAUUGGACCCUUUGAGAGAAAAAAGUGGAAAAUGUCCCACCCCAUUGCCAAGUUUCAAGCCGAGGGUGACUGGGUAUGAGUCCCUAAAUAUUAUGAUUAUCGACAUAAAACCCACAUAAUCAGAAAGAGCACAAUCAACCUAUACAAAAUCCUGAAGUUU